rnacentral:lncRNA from 1 species
UCUCUUUUUAAGCAAAUAACCAAGUGGCUUUCAGUGUCUCGAGACAUUCAAAAGGAGAGAGAGAGAGAGAGAGAGAGAGAGAGAGAGAGCAGAUCCAAAGAGCCCAGGCAAGGAAAGAGAUUCUUGACUAACAGAGGAGCAUGUGCCCUCAAUAACCUCCAAACCCAGAACCAAGUACUUCUUGUUAAAUUUGACGUACAGCAAGUGUGAUGAAGAGGACUCCCCAGAUCCCUAAUUUGCUGGCCAUCCAUAAACUCAAGAGCUUUGUACUGAGACUCCAGCUUUCAAAAGGUAGGACAUCCUGUGCUGAUUCCACUUGGCCUUGGUUUGCAUCCAGCUCAAACAUGCCUGUGCGGCUGUCAGAUUUAAUUAAAGGGCAAGACAAUAGCAACAACAACAGCAGCAGGAUAGUUGAGAGACCUUGUUUGUUCUGUAAAGCGCAACACUAAGAGGGAAUUUUCAAAAGGCAAAUAAACAGAGCAAAGAUCCCUGGUGCAGUCACUGGGCUGGGCAGUGUGUGUGGUGGGGGAGAAGGCAAUGUCUGCUUACUGUAGUCUAAG